rnacentral:rRNA from 1 species
AUUGAACGCUGGCGGCAGGCUUAACACAUGCAAGUCGAGCGGAGAGAGGUAGCUUGCUACUGAUCUUAGCGGCGGACGGGUGAGUAAUGCUUAGGAAUCUGCCUAUUAGUGGGGGACAACAUUUCGAAAGGAAUGCUAAUACCGCAUACGUCCUACGGGAGAAAGCAGGGGAUCUUCGGACCUUGCGCUAAUAGAUGAGCCUAAGUCGGAUUAGCUAGUUGGUGGGGUAAAGGCCUACCAAGGCGACGAUCUGUAGCGGGUCUGAGAGGAUGAUCCGCCAAACUGGGACUGGGACACGGCCCAGACUCCUACGGGAGGCAGCAGUGGGGAAUAUUGGACAAGGGGCGCAAGCCUGAUACAGCCAUGCCGCGUGUGUGAAGAAGGCCUUAUUGUUGUAAAGCACUUUAAGCGAGGAGGAGGCUACUUUAGUUAAUACCUAGAGAUAGUGGACGUUACUCGCAGAAUAAGCACCGGCUAACUCUGUGCCAGCCGCCGCCGUAA